rnacentral:rRNA from 1 species
AGGACGAACGCUGGCGGCGUGCUUAACACAUGCAAGUCGAGCGGAAAGGCCCUUCGGGGUACUCGAGCGGCGAACGGGUGAGUAACACGUGAGCAACCUGCCCCUGGCUCUGGGAUAGCCUCCGGAAACGGGGAUUAAUACCGGAUAUUCACUGUCUCCUGCAUGGGGGGUGGUGGAAAGUUUUUCGGCUAGGGUGGGGCUCGCGGCCUAUCAGCUUGUUGGGGGGGUGACGGCCCACCAAGGCGACGACGGGUAGCCGGCCUGAGAGGGCGACCGGCCACACUGGGACUGAGACACGGCCCAGACUCCUACGGGAGGCAGCAGUGGGGAAUAUUGCGCAAUGGGCGGAAGCCUGACGCAGCGACGCCGCGUGCGGGAUGAAGGCCUUCGGGUUGUAAACCGCUUUCACCAGGGACGAAGCGGAAGUGACGGUACCGUGGGGAAGAGCGCCGGCUAACUACGCGCCAGCAGCCGC